UGCAGUGGAGAAGGCCACUGCUGGCAGAAUUGCCAAGGAAUCCACGGAGCAUAUGGAGGAUGAACAGCUGGAGUUGAUGGAAUUGGCCGCUGCUAGCAAGGGGUUGCCUUCAAUCAUUAAUCUCGAUCAUGUCACUAUGCAGAACCUUGAGUUGUUCAGAGGUGUUUAUGACGCCUGAAGGAAAAGGGUGGGGUCUGCAAGCACUGGAUGAACUGCCUAAAGGUGCAUUUGUAUGUGCUCCUUGAUUCUGAUUGGAGCUCCAUGUGUGUGAAGGAUGAUGAAGCUCUUUGUUUGGAUUCAACGACCUUUGGAAACAUUGCUAGGUUUAUCAACCAUAGAGAUCAGGGUGAGGUGCUAGCUGAAGCUCUAAAGAUGAUGCUGUGCAUCGAUAGGCACUCACUUGACAUGCAGAAGGCUGCAGCGUUCAUAAAGCGUUUAGCCACAUUCUUGUUAUGCUUUGAGUCUGCAAAGUCCAUGGCUGCCUUGGUCACUUUAAAGCAUCUCCUAUUAAAUGCCGGUUUUUGUUGGAAAAUGAUCCUGGAGGUGGCUCAGUAUCAGGUUCUGUUGCAGUAAGCAAUUUACUGCUUCCACGCAGAACCCUUAAUUGAUGCAUGAUAUGUUGGAUUUAAAAUGGAGAUGAAGGAAGUAAGGCUAAAAAGAGAAGUGUCUCCUUUCUCCGUGAUGCAAUUUUGGGUGCAUAAGAGAGAUGAACACAUGCUGUCAAGGUCCAGAAGGUUCUAAAAUUCCACCAAUGGAAAAGUCUCAAAAUGCUUUAACUAUUGGUCCAUCAUUACGACUUCAAGGAUCGUUAGUACCGUUCUUCUCUUUCAAACGGCCAUCCCUUGGUCAAGAGAAUCAAGUCAAAGUUCUCAACAAACUUGCUUCAGCUCGAGCUUCAGGAGCAGGUAGUAGCAGCAGAGUCUUGACAGAUUUGGUAGAGGGUCUAGAAGAAGCAGCUGUUGCUGUAGAAUUGAGGUUGAAGAUCAACCAGAGUCAUCCGGACUUAAAGGGAGGAUCUUUCUGAGACUAUGGAGAGGCAGUGUUGAAGCACUUGGAGAACUCUAUUGAUUUGGACCCAAAGCUUCAGAAAGCUCCAGUAAAUUAUGAAGGAGCCCGGGUAUCUGGGUUUGGAGGAUGGUUCCUUUUGAGGCUCUUGCUUUAUGAUCCUGUUCUUCCUCUUAACAUUGAGGCACCAACUCACGAUGACGCUGUAAAACUUGGACUUGCCGUGCUUGGGGCUAUUAAGGAGUUUGCAGCUUUGGAUACAUCCGCUUUAGACAAGUUUGUUCAAGUAUCAUGAGCUGAUGAUGCAGAGCGCUUUGGUACAAGUAUCUUUCGGCACAUUAUACUGGCAGUUAAAGUCGGCUUUUGCGUCUACCUCUGUACAGUACGUAUAAUCAGUGCGUCAAUCUCUGAUUCUGAGGAGGUCCAUUUUCCAUAUGGUUUUCGUCACUGGCACUCAAAAUACUACUUGAUGGCUAUGUUUACUUUAGUUUUUACUUAUGUUCCAUGUAUGCAACAGAGAUGUUCUGAUAAAUAAGAAACGUUCUUCGACUACAGAAUUUUUCGGAGGGAUGUUUGAA